UUUGAUCCUGGCUCAGGACGAACGGCUGGCGGGCGUGCCUAAUACAUGCAAGUCGAGCGGACAGGAUGGGAGCUUGCUCCCUGAUGUUAGCGGCGGACGGGUGAGUAACACGUGGGUAACCUGCCUGUAAGACUGGGAUAACUCCGGGAAACCGGGGCUAAUACCGGAUGGUUGUCUGAACCGCAUGGUUCAGACAUAAAAGGUGGCUUCGGCUACCACUUACAGAUGGACCCGCGGCGCAUUAGCUAGUUGGUGAGGUAACGGCUCACCAAGGCGACGAUGCGUAGCCGACCUGAGAGGGUGAUCGGCCACACUGGGACUGAGACACGGCCCAGACUCCUACGGGAGGCAGCAGUAGGGAAUCUUCCGCAAUGGACGAAAGUCUGACGGAGCAACGCCGCGUGAGUGAUGAAGGUUUUCGGAUCGUAAAGCUCUGUUGUUAGGGAAGAACAAGUGCCGUUCAAAUAGGGCGGCACCUUGACGGUACCUAACCAGAAAGCCACGGCUAACUACGUG
rnacentral:rRNA from 1 species